CAGUGCCUAGGAUGACUCAGAGUUAAAUUGUCAACUCUUAACUAGUACAUCCAUUGUGUGUCUCAACGUCAUAAAUCUUGUGACUCUCACAAAGACUAUCCUAACCAAGGUUUUACGGAAUUGAAAUACAAUGUAGCACUAACUUCUGAAACUAGGAGCGGUCAACCCAUAUUGACUCACAUACAAACUUUGCAAGUACUUAACUGUGCCC
rnacentral:lncRNA from 1 species